rnacentral:rRNA from 1 species
ACUCCUACGGGAGGCAGCAGUGGGGAAUAUUGCACAAUGGGCGCAAGCCUGAUGCAGCCAUGCCGCGUGUGUGAAGAAGGCCUUCGGGUUGUAAAGCACUUUCAGUCGUGAGGAAGGUGGUAGUGUUAAUAGCACUAUCAUUUGACGUUAGCGACAGAAGAAGCACCGGCUAACUCCGUGCCAGCAGCCGCGGUAAUACGGAGGGUGCGAGCGUUAAUCGGAAUUACUGGGCGUAAAGCGCAUGCAGGUGGUUUGUUAAGUCAGAUGUGAAAGCCCGGGGCUCAACCUCGGAAUUGCAUUUGAAACUGGCAGACUAGAGUACUGUAGAGGGGGUGGAG